rnacentral:rRNA from 1 species
ACGGGAGGCAGCAGUGAGGAAUAUUGGUCAAUGGACGGAAGUCUGAACCAGCCAAGUCGCGUGAAGGAAGACGGUUCUAUGGAUUGUAAACUUCUUUUGUCCGAGGGUAAAGUGAGAGAUGCGUCUCUUAUUGCAAGUAUCGGACGAAUAAGCAUCGGCUAACUCCGUGCCAGCAGCCGCGGUAAUACGGAGGAUGCGAGCGUUAUCCGGAUUUAUUGGGUUUAAAGGGUGCGUAGGCGGAUGAUUAAGUCUGUGGUGAAAGCGUGCGGCUCAACCGUACCGAGCCAUGGAAACUGGUUGUCUUGAGUGUAAACGAGGUAGGCGGAAUGUGACAUGUAGCGGUGAAAUGCUUAGAUAUGUCACAGAACUCCGAUUGCGAAGGCAGCUGACUAAUCCGCAACUGACGCUCAGGCACGAAAGCGUGGGGAUCGAACAGGAUUAGAUACCCUGGUA